GCCCAGACAGCAUAGUUUUUGGAUAACAGUGUCUAGUAGCUUAAUUCUUCCAUUCAAACCAGUGGUUCAGAUUGUGAAUCAAAUGUUCAAUGUAGAAAAGACUUGUCAAUAAAGAACAGCUGGAGAAUUGAAAUGACCAAGAUCACGGCCAGCAAUUAGGUUAUGCAAGUUUCAUCUCCUUAUUUAUGAAUAAGUUUUGUAAGACCGGGACCCUGCUGCAGUUAACCGUUAGUGGAGGAGCUGAGGCCCUCAACUUCAGGUGGGGAGUCUAGGAGAAUGAAGAAGAUUUGCGAGAGCCGGGAGAAGAGCGCUGAAUGGUGCAGUCAGCGAGAGGAGAACGUGGGAUCUGCUCUGCUGUGUGAGGGGCCAGGGCUCUGAAAUCAGACUCUCCUGGAUUCAAGUCACCGGCAGUCCCUACUCUGAAGCUGUGACUUCGAGAAGGUCAUGACUGAUGAUAGGAGAAAGCCAGAGAUGAUACACAUAACCCUUGCAUCAGGGAGGAGAUCUGCGCAUCAUCGGGGGACUUCCACACCCUAACCCGCCCUUCACUGGACUGUGCUGAAGAAGAAAGAGAGCCUAAGACCCUUGGGAUUUCU